rnacentral:lncRNA from 1 species
UGUGACCCCAAGUGACUCUGCAGUCAUGCUACAGUUGCUUGCAUUCUGGUGCCCUGUUCUUAAGAGCUGCCAGUGUGGAGACUGUCCAGCCUCAGGGACGGGAAAAUAACAUCUGGGAGACAACCAAGCAUCCUCAGUGAAACCCCCACCGCUACUAAAGCUGAAGAUGGACAUAUUGUGCUGAAUUUUUUCAACUCUGGUAAGAAGAAAAGCUGUGGCAGGAAACUGUGCUU